rnacentral:lncRNA from 1 species
CUGGGUCCAUCCCUGGGUCCCACCACGAGCUUCAGGUCCAUGCCUGGGUCACGCUACGGGUGCUGGGUCCCUGUAUGGAUCAUGACAUAGAUCAUGUUAUGGGUCUUGGGUCCAUCCCUGGGUCCCACCAUGAGCUUCAGGUCCAUCCCUGGGUCACGCUAUGGGUCUUGGGUCCAUCUCUGGGGCGCAACAUGCUUAGUAGAUGACAGUUUAGGUCGUGUUAUGGGUGCUGGGUCCAUCCCUGGGUCGCUGUAUGGGUGCU